CCUAUAUCCUAUAUUUGCAGCCACCCAGUGGUUGUGAUUUACGGCUAGCAUGUGGUGAUAUUGUUUAAUGAAAAAUUGGAGAAAAUUAGAGCUAAGGUAAGGGUUGACACAUUGUAUAGAUAGAUAGAUAGAUAGAUAGAUAUGAGAUCAGAUAGAUAUAGAUAGCUUUACAAGAUAAAUAAUAGGGUGACGUCUAACUGUCUUUUUAGUGUGUAGGGGCAGGGAUAUAAAUGUUAUUACAAAGAGUAUGCUAAACUAUUCACCUGGGCUGUAGCAGUCAGCGCUGACACACAGGAACAUAGUAUACUUAAUGUCAGUGCUGCACACUGCAGCCCUGCUCCUCUCCCUACCUUCCCAGCACUAACCAGAGACAUACUGGGAAGAAAAAGGGGAGCCCUGUGGCCAGUGACCAGCUCUGACGGCAGAUCCAAUGCAUUAUGGAGCAUAUAACUUUUGAUUUUCAGUUAAAUAAAUUACACAUGUAGAAAGGCAAGGCAGGGGAAGGAGGCAGCACCUGGGGCAAGGAGACCAGAGGCAGGCUGAGAAUCCUGCACUUGCAUCUGGGUGGGGAACACUUUAGAGGCCACUUUAUUAGAAAACAGCUUCUAAAGGUUUCCUCGCCAACAUCUAGGCUGCAGAGAUCUGCGCUGACACACAGGAACGUAGUACACGUACUGUCAGUGCUGCACACUGCAGCUCUGCUCCUCUCCCUAUCUUCUCAGCACUAACCAGAGACAUAAUUGGAAGAUCAGGGAAACACUUCAGCAUAUGAAAUGCAGUAUAGAACAACAUAUAACAUUUGUUUUUAGCAAAAUAAUGUAGACAUUUAGGGAGACAAGGCAUGGGAAGGAACCAGCAACUGGAACUGGGAGAGCAGAGGCAGGCUGAGAAUCCUGUGCCUGCAUCUUACAGUAAAGGGCACAUAUUAGAAGAACACUUUAUAGCACUGCCCCUGCACAUUAAUACAAACAAAUAAAUGAAACAACCAUUUUUUACAUGAUCCCAAUUUGCCUGCAAAGAUAUAAAUGGUAGAGGUGUAAGGGUAUGAUCAUACAUGUGUCAUGGCUUCUGCUCCAAGCAUAAGCUAUAGCGCUGUAGUGGAUCCUUUGCACAUAUCCCAAUGGCAUCCAGCUGAUUUCUGAUGGUUUAUGUCUGGGCUACGUCAUGGACUCUUGAUGACAGACAAUAAUGCUGCCUGCAAUGCACCCAACACAUAUGUGAAUAUGUAAUAAUAAUAUCAUGUAAGGUUGUCUGCCUAAAAGAUCCACUAGAGGGAGCACCACAUAUUGUUUUAUUACUGCUAAGUGCUAUGUAUAAACAGUAUGCUGUGAGCUCCCUCUAGUGGUGGCUGAAGGUAAACAGAAUCUUACCUUUUAAUUCUAUGUCUGUGCAGGAGAUUUGGAGCAGUGUAUCAGAAACAUUGUACUCCCUUCCCUAUAAAGAUAGAUUAAGACAGUGUUGUAAGGUGGAACUGUGCUUUAAGUGUUUGCUGUCUUAUUUUUUAUGUGAGAGUUACGAGACACUCUCUCUGUUACUGUAUAUACAACCAGGAAGAUGUCUCUUCAAGUCCUCAGUCUGUAAUGUCCGAUGCAAUCAGUUUCUACUGGUCAGAACUGACGUGUAACAGUAAUGGUUAGUGACAAUGGCAGAAUGUAUGGACUCCUUGGCUUUCUAUUGGAUGGACCUGUCAUCUUUACAAGAAGUCAUGCUGUAUGAAACUGAAGAGAAGACCUAGAAGGCUUCCAGUGACCGAAUGACUACAGGACCACAGGGCGUAUACAUGUAUAUACUGUUUAUAUGUUCUAUUUAAACUUUAUACAGUAAACUGAUUUCUCUAA